rnacentral:rRNA from 1 species
UGCCAGCAGCCGCGGUAAUACGGAGGGUGCAAGCGUUAAUCGGAAUUACUGGGCGUAAAGGGUGCGUAGGUGGUUUGGUAAGUUAUGUGUGAAAUCCCAGGGCUUAACCUUGGAGGGUCAGAUAAUACUGCCGAACUAGAGUAUGAGAGAGGGUAGUGGAAUUUCCGGUGUAGCGGUGAAAUGCGUAGAGAUCGGAAGGAACACCAGUGGCGAAGGCGGCUACCUGGCUCAAUACUGACACUGAGGCACGAAAGCGUGGGGAGCAAACAGGAUUAGAUA